rnacentral:rRNA from 1 species
GGAUGCGAUCAUACCAGCACUAAUGCACCGGAUCCCAUCAGAACUCCGAAGUUAAGGCGUGCUUGGGCGAGAGUAGUACUAGGAUGGGUGACCCCCUGGGAAGUCCUCGUGUUGCAUCCC